rnacentral:lncRNA from 1 species
UCACUCCUCCCUUCCCUAAAGGGAGGGCAUAGAAGGCCAAGGGAGCCCUAAGCUAGGCCACCAUCUGUUUCCUCAGAGUCUGGUCUGUCUUUGGACUGCACUUGCUUGCCUGGUCAGUCUCCCAUCUCCCUUAAAUUCAGAACCAUCCAUGUGUGGCCACUACCAAAUUUCUACCUCCUGCCAGGCCAGACCUCUCAUCUGAGCUCCAGCCACAAGUCCUGCCUGGCCAGCCUCCCUGGUCAUCCCACAGGCACCUCAAGCGAACCAUGUCUAAUGGACCUCAGCACCCCUCCCCUUCCAAACCAGCUUCUCUUUCCAUGUCCC